UACGAAGGGGGGCUAGCGUUGUUCGGAAUCACUGGGCGUAAAGCGCACGUAGGCGGAUCUUUAAGUCAGGGGUGAAAUCCCGAGGCUCAACCUCGGAACUGCCUUUGAUACUGGGGAUCUCGAGUCCGGGAGAGGUGAGUGGAACUGCGAGUGUAGAGGUGAAAUUCGUAGAUAUUCGGAAGAACACCAGUGGCGAAGGCGGCUCACUGGUCCGGUACUGACGCUGAGGUGCGAAAGCGUGGGGAGCAAACAGG
rnacentral:rRNA from 1 species